CCUACGGGGGGCAGCAGUGAGGAAUAUUGGUCAAUGGACGAGAGUCUGAACCAGCCAAGUAGCGUGAAGGAUGACUGCCCUAUGGGUUGUAAACUUCUUUUAUAUGGGAAUAAAAUGUUCCACGUGUGGGAUUUUGUAUGUACCAUAUGAAUAAGGAUCGGCUAACUCCGUGCCAGCAGCCGCGGUAAUACGGAGGAUCCGAGCGUUAUCCGGAUUUAUUGGGUUUAAAGGGAGCGUAGGUGGAUUGUUAAGUCAGUUGUGAAAGUUUGCGGAUCAACCGUAAAAUUGCAGUUGAAACUGGCAGUCUUGAGUACAGUAGAGGUGGGCGGAAUUCGUGGUGUAGCGGUGAAAUGCUUAGAUAUCACGAAGAACUCCGAUUGCGAAGGCAGUUCACUGGACUGCAACUGACACUGAGGCUCGAAAGUGUGGGUAUCAAACAGGAUUAGAUACCCUAGUAGUC
rnacentral:rRNA from 1 species